GCCAUGUGAAAGCGUGUUGUUGUUUAUGUGGUUUUACCGGACUCCCUGGAUUGUAUUUACAUAAAUGCAUAUCUCAGACAGUUUGGAUCCAACGAAGUACGAGGCGCGCGAAUUUUUAAUUCUGAUAAAAACGGAAAUGGAGUAGAAAUGUUGAGUGGCGUUGGCAUCUUCUGCUUUAUCAAACAAGGUGUACCAACAGCUAGCUAGAUUCACUGGAAUAUCCAACAACAAAAUUGGACUUAUGAUGCAAAAAUGUAAACAAACGUAUACCAAUUUAAGUUUAAAAACUUGCACAAAGAUUAAUAAGCUUCUCUAAGAUUACGCUCCUCUUUAAUGGAUAUUUGCAGGACAAAAGAGUAGCUAUUUGCAGGACAAAAGAGUAGCUAUUUGUAUUUCCUGACAAAACUAAGACCAUUGAACCCAGGGACGAUAAAUCCAGUUUUACAUGUCAAGGGCGUGCACAAGUGUGUUAUCCUGCAGGCUCAGAGAGACACACCCCACCUGUACCCCAAGCAUCGUUUCCAGUGUUUCUGUGUUGACAGUAUAUAUUCAUUAAGACUGUCUGGAUAAAUGAUAUUUUUGAUCUUACAUUAAUGCAUCACAAAUGACAAUUAUUGUGUAUUUUUGAUCAAUCAAUUGUGCAGAUUUGUUGUGCAUAUUCUCUUUAAAUGUUUUUUCUUUUUUACACCACUUGGGAUUAAAAAGGUGACAAUAAAAGCAUUUUAUUUUUUCAAAUAAUUUUAAUGUUUGAAAGGUACAUAUACUUUGUUGAUUUUAUUGUCAAAGUUGCUUGUGUCACCUGCUUUUUCUUUGAUCUUGUUUUUUUUUUGUUUAUUUAAAUAUUUGUGUGCAUAUGCUAAUUACUAAGUUCUGCAUUUUAUAUAUCCUCCUGAGAUAAAAAUACUAUGUAAAUUAUAUACUAAAUCAAAUCGCCAUCAACCUAUUAUUUCAUGGAACACCCUCCAAACUCAUAUGCCUCAUAAUAAUAUCUUUGAUGCCUCAUUUAUUAUGCUCAAAGAGAGUUUCCAAAAACAUAUUCUUGCAACCUGCUAUAUAUAGUCACAUGGUUUGUACCACACUCUACUUUUUUUGUCUUUGUCUGUGUAACCCAGCGUUUCCCUAGGCCUGUCCCUGUUUGUUUUUGUCCACAGUGACUAUCAUAACCCUAGCUUCUAGCUAUUUUGGUAGCCUCCCUCCAACAUACUCAGAUAUAGUUAACAUAUAGUAUAUAUAUUGUAUAAAUAUAAAUGACUUAAUAUUUCUAGGCUUUAUAUAUUUACGGGAUACUCGUAACUGUAGAUUGUUGGUAAAUGUAUAUUAUUAUUAUCUUAUAUAUAGUGAGUAGUAAAAAGUUGUAACAUUAUACAGUGAGAUCAGUAAAAAGUUUUGGGUUUCCAUAG